AUUGAACGCUGGCGGAAUGCUUUACACAUGCCAGUCGAGCGGCAGCACGGGGGCAACCCUGGUGGCGAGCGGCGAACGGGUGAGUAAUACAUCGGAACAUGCCCAGUCGUGGGGGAUAACACUUCGAAAGAAGUGCUAAUACCGCAUACGUCCUGAGGGGGAAAGCGGGGGAUCGCAAGACCUCGCGCGAUUGGAGUGGCCGAUGUCAGAUUAGCUAGUUGGUGGGGUAAAGGCCUACCAAGGCAACGAUCUGUAGCUGGUCUGAGAGGAUGAUCAGCCACACUGGGACUGAGACACGGCCCAGACUCCUACGGGAGGCAGCAGUGGGGAAUUUUAGACAGUGGGGGCAACCCUGAUCCAGCCAUUCCGCGUGAGUGAAGAAGGCCUUCGGGUUGUAAAGCUCUUUCGGCAGGAACGAAACGGUGAGCUCUAACAUAGCUUGCUAAUGACGGUACCUGAAGAAGAAGCACCGGCUAACUACGUG
rnacentral:rRNA from 1 species